CAAGCGAGAGAAAAAUUGGAGAAUCCAUGGAUCAAAUGGUUGGCCCCCGAAUAGCUAUUACUCAUCUUCUCCAAAUUUUCUCCUAAUUAAAUCCCCAAAACCCUAACUUACCUGUAAUUUUGGGUUUUUGUAAUCUUCAUCUUCGAUUUAAGGGGUCCAAAUGGUGACCCAUCGGAGUACAAUAAUUGUCGAAGUAAUGAAGAUAAUCCAUGAAUUGAAUUGCUACUUGCUGAUUUGUCUUAUACAAGGUGUAAAUGGUGAGACAUUGGAGUACAAGUAUAAGGAAAAAGAACGAAGGAAGGAUCCCUGAAUUCAACCAUUACUUGCUAAUUUGUCUUGUACAACGCUAUCGAUCUCAAUGCCAACUCCCCAAUUCUUACAUGAGUACCUAGAAUUUGUCUGUUGGUCCCCCUGAAAAGGCCAACAAAUUAUAGGAACCCCACUAGACAAGCUUUCGAGGGUUGAGUUCCACCC